CCGCGACCUUGGCGAUCGGGAAGCCGGUGGCCUUCGAAGCCAGCGCCGACGAGCGCGAGACGCGCGGGUUCAUUUCGAUGACGACGAGGCGGCC
rnacentral:tRNA from 1 species